CUUCGGUGGUAUUCAACAGCGCUAUAAAUACCGUCUCGUCCGUCGACGCGCUCUCUCUCUUCUGCGAUGUUUCAGCGGAAAGAUGUUACAGCAAAUAAAAAUGAGAAACUCAGGCCGCGACAGGGUGGGGUCUGAAUGCAGUCCCCAUCCCCUCCAGACGAAGACUCCCCAGCUGCUUCAGCUCUGAUGUAAGUGCGCCGCUCUGUGUUUUGAGGCCCCAGCGGUAGUCAGCUGUGCAGGCCCGUCCAUGCCUGGGCUGUGUUACUCUGCUGGAAGAGAAAGGUGCUGCCGCUCGUGCUCCUCCGGGGUUGGCUGUUUUAGUGAACCCUGCUGUGCAGCGCAGGGCAAGCUGUGCCUUCUGAGAGUGGUCUGUGCUCACAAAAUGAGGCAGGCCUAGUCUGGGGGCUGACAUUCGAACCGAACGUGACUCGUUGCAGGUGUGAGCCAGAGUUUUUAACAGUUAUUGUUACAGGUUGCGGUGGAGCAACAAAUGCCAUGAUCCCUGGGGCCUGAUGCGUUGAGAGGGUCGGGUAGAUGUUCGAAGAUCUGGAAAGUCCGUCGAAAUCCUGUUGUGGGAUCCGGUUCAACAGAGCUGUUCAAAGAUCUGCAAAAGUCCAUCAAAAUCAUCCCGUUGUGGGAAAGAUGUGAAGAUCUACAGAAAUCCAGUUCUCAGCCCGAUGUGUAGUUGAGCAGUUAAGAGAUCAGGUCUCUGGUUUGAGAAAUGAAGUGAAUACUGAGAUGACGUCUCCCUCUACUGUAACCUUCAGAAUUGAAAGGAACAUGGGAGAGAAUGACCGUGUGUUUGAUCUGUAUUAAUCAUUGCCUGGUGUGGUGCUGGAUUGCCUUCCAGAUCAACUGAAUAAAUUGCAUAUUCAUGUUUAAAUAAAGUGAUACACUAUA